rnacentral:misc_RNA from 1 species
UUAACUAUUGUAUAGUACUCAGACAUCACUAAACACAGAGUUUGGGUCCUCUGGCAGGCACUGUCAGCCAAAGCCGACGCCCGAAGGCGGCCUGCCAAAGCAACAAAGGUAAGUAGACACGGUAUGGGAAUAGAACCCAUUUUUCGUUUCCAAAAAACGGGGCUGAUUCUUUAAUGAUCCUUCCGCAGGUUCACCUACGGAAA